CAGUACCUACGGGGGGCAGCAGUGAGGAAUAUUGGUCAAUGGGCGGAAGCCUGACCCAGCAACGCCGCGUGAAGGAAGAAGGCUUUCGGGUUGUAAACUUCUUUCCUCAGGGACGAAGAAAGUGACGGUACCUGAGGAAUAAGCCACGGCUAACUACGUGCCAGCAGCCGCGGUAAUACGUAGGUGGCAAGCGUUAUCCGGAUUUACUGGGUGUAAAGGGCGUGUAGGAGGGGAAGCAAGUCAGAUGUGAAAACCACGGGCUCAACCUGUGGCCUGCAUUUGAAACUGUUUUUCUGAAGUACUGG
rnacentral:rRNA from 1 species